rnacentral:rRNA from 1 species
UCACCUGUUUUUCAAAAACAUGUCUUAAAGAAAUAUAAUUUUAAGUCUAAUCUGCUCAAUGAAUUUUAAAAUUUAAAUAGCUGCAGUAUAAAUAACUGUACUAAGGUAGCAUAAUAAUUUGUUUUUUAAUUAAAAACUAGAAUAAAAGAUUCAAUGAAAUAUAAACUGUCUCAAAAUAAUAUAUUAAAAUUAUUUUUUACGUAAAAAAACUUAAAUAAAUUUUAAAGACGAAAAGACCCUAAAGAAUUUUCUUAUUUAAUUUUUUUUUUAAAAUUUAAAUAAUUUAGUUGGGGAAAUUUUAAAAUUUAACAAAUUUUUAAUUAAAUUUAUAACAAUUAUUAUUGAAUUUAAAAUAUUUUUUAAAAAUUAAAAUUAAAUUACCUUAGGGAUAACAGCAUAAUUUUUUUUUAAAGUUCAAAUUUAUAAAAAAGUUUAUGACCUCG